GGGAUAACAGUUAGAAAUGACUGCUAAUACCGCAUAAGCGCACAGGAUUGCAUGAUCUGGUGUGAAAAACUCCGGUGGUAUAAGAUGGACCCGCGUCUGAUUAGCUGGUUGGUGAGGUAACGGCCCACCAAGGCGACGAUCAGUAGCCGACCUGAGAGGGUGACCGGCCACAUUGGGACUGAGACACGGCCCAAACUCCUACGGGAGGCAGCAGUGGGGAAUAUUGCACAAUGGGGGAAACCCUGAUGCAGCGACGCCGCGUGAGCGAAGAAGUAUUUCGGUAUGUAAAGCUCUAUCAGCAGGGAAGAAAAAAAUGACGGUACCUGACUAAGAAGCCCCGGCUAACUACGUGCCAGCAGCCGCGGUAAUACGUAGGGGGCAAGCGUUAUCCGGAUUUACUGGGUGUAAAGGGAGCGCAGGCGGUGCGGCAAGUCUGAUGUGAAAGCCCGGGGCUCAACCCCGGGACUGCAUUGGAAACUGUCGUACUUGAGUAUCGGAGAGGUAAGUGGAAUUCCUAGUGUAGCGGUGAAAUGCGUAGAUAUUAGGAGGAACACCAGUGGCGAAGGCGGCUUACUGGACGAUAACUGACGCUGAGGCUCGAAAGCGUGGGGAGCAAACAGGAUUAGAUACCCUGGUAGUCCACGCCGUAAACGAUGAAAACUAGGUGUCGGGGGACAUAGUCCUUCGGUGCCGCAG
rnacentral:rRNA from 1 species